rnacentral:rRNA from 1 species
GAUGAACGCUGGCGGCGUGCCUAAUACAUGCAAGUCGAGCGAACAGACGAGGAGCUUGCUCCUCUGACGUUAGCGGCGGACGGGUGAGUAACACGUGGAUAACCUACCUAUAAGACUGGGAUAACUUCGGGAAACCGGAGCUAAUACCGGAUAAUAUAUUGAACCGCAUGGUUCAAUAGUGAAAGACGGUUUUGCUGUCACUUAUAGAUGGAUCCGCGCCGCAUUAGCUAGUUGGUAAGGUAACGGCUUACCAAGGCAACGAUGCGUAGCCGACCUGAGAGGGUGAUCGGCCACACUGGAACUAAGACACGGUCCAGACUCCUACGGGAGGCAGCAGUAGGGAAUCUUCCGCAAAGGGCGAAAGCUUGACGGAGCAACGCCGCGUGAGUGAUGAAGGUCUUCGGAUCGUAAAACUCUGUUAUUAGGGAAGAACAAAUGUGUAAGUAACUAUGCACGUCUUGACGGUACCUAAUCAGAAAGCCACGGCUAACUACGUG